CGAAACGCCUGGUCGGGGCUCUUGUCUCCUCCUGCGUAUUCACCUUUUUCAUGUUCAGUUCUGCAUCCGCUGUCUCGUUGGACAAGAGAGAAUUCCAGACUCACAGUCUGUGACAAUGGAUCAGUUAUGUGAACUGCCUGAGGAAGCAUCAAGGAGGAGGCAGAGAAGGAAGAGGCCAGAGCAAAGAUUUAUAGGCAGCAAUGUUCAAAGGCUACAAAGGGACCAUGAGGAGGCCAGCCUGUUUGGAAGAAAAAGCAAAGCACCAGCAUUCAGGAAAGAAAUAAGAAGAAAGAGAGAACUGUACCUUGAGGGAAUGAAGGUAACAAUUAUGGAAAAAAGAACCCUUGGCAGUGUUGUGAUGUUUCUUGGACACUGGAAUUGGUUAGCAAAUAUUUAAUCGGACUGAGUUUUUACCUAGAGUUUUUGCCCUUAACUCUAAACUGCCUGAAGGAUGAGAGCAUAGACAGGAUGAUCCCUAUAUCUCCUUGAAAGCUGUGUUUGACAAAGAAUGGUCUGAGACCACUCAUAUUAAAAUGAUCUGGGAUGUUUCAGUGGGAGACUUGCAUUCUUAACAAGUUGCCUGUAUCAAUCAUGGUCCAGUCAGAGAAAAUGCAAUGGAAGAGAGAUUUAAGGUAAACAAUCAGUUACUGUAUCAGUUUCCUUUGUGGGAUAACAAAACACCCUAAAAUAAGUAGUUUAGAAGAACAAUUUGUCUGCUAUUCCUUACCAGUCUACUGGCCAACUGGAUCAUUCUUCAGAUCUUGACUGGGCUCCCUCCUGUGUCUGUGGUAGGUGUCAGGACAGCUAGGUAGCUUGGAUUCUGGGAUUUGGCUGCUUAUUGGCCUGGGUACUUGGGUCCUCCUCCACGAGGGAGGCGGGUGCUCCUCCAGCCAGUUAGCCUAGGCUCAUUCACCUGGCAGCUCAGUGGGAUUCCAAAAGGAAGCAUGCAAAGGCUUCAGGUCUAGAAUCAGAACUGGCACAAAUUGCUUGCUUGCACUGCAAUUGGUUGACGAAAGGAAUAAGGCCAGCCCAGACUUGAGAUGGAGAAAUUGACUCCAUUUUUUGAUGGGGGCUUUAUGAUCAU